rnacentral:rRNA from 1 species
UGUUUCGGCUAGGGGGCCAUCCCGGCUUACCAACCCGAUGCAAACUACGAAUACCGAAGAAUGUUAUCACGGGAGACACACGGCGGGUGCUAACGUCCGUCGUGAAGAGGGAAACAACCCAGACCGCCAGCUAAGGUCCCAAAGUCAUGGUUAAGUGGGAAACGAUGUGGGAAGGCACAGACAGCCAGGAUGUUGGCUUAGAAGCAGCCAUCAUUUAAAGAAAGCGUAAUAGCUCACUGGUCGAGUCGGCCUGCGCGGAAGAUGUAACGGGGCUAAACCAUGCACCGAAGCUGCGGCAGCGACGCUUAGGCGUUGUUGGGUAGGGGAGCGUUCUGUAAGCCGUUGAAGGUGUGCUGUGAGGCAUGCUGGAGGUAUCAGAAGUGCGAAUGCUGACAUAAGUAACGAUAAAGCGGGUGAAAAGCCCGCUCGCCGGAAGACCAAGGGUUCCUGUCCAACGUUAAUCGGGGCAGGGUGAGUCGACCCCUAAGGCGAGGCCGAAAGGCGUAGUCGAUGGGAAACAGGUUAAUAUUCCUGUACUUGGUGUUACUGCGAAGGGGGGACGGAGAAGGCUAUGUUAGCCGGGCGACGGUUGUCC